UCCAGACUCCUACGGGAGGCAGCAGUGAGGAAUAUUGGUCAAUGGGCUUACGCCUGAACCAGCCAAGUCGCGUGAGGGAAGACUGCCCUAUGGGUUGUAAACCUCUUUUGUCAGGGAGCAACGCCGGCUACGUGUAGCCGGACUGAGAGUACCUGAAGAAAAAGCAUCGGCUAACUCCGUGCCAGCAGCCGCGGUAAUACAUAGGGAGCAAGCGUUAUCCGGAUUUAUUGGGUGUAAAGGGUGCGUAGACGGGAAAUUAAGUUAGUUGUGAAAUCCCUCGGCUUAACUGAGGAACUGCAACUAAAACUGAUUUUCUUGAGUACUGGAGAGGAAAGUGGAAUUCCUAGUGUAGCGGUGAAAUGCGCAGAUAUUAGGAGGAACACCAGUGGCGAAGGCGACUUUCUGGACAGUAACUGACGUUGAGGCACGAAAGUGUGGGGAGCAAACAGGAUUAGAUACCCCCGUAA
rnacentral:rRNA from 1 species